rnacentral:rRNA from 1 species
AUUGAACGCUGGCGGCAGGCCUAACACAUGCAAGUCGAACGGUAACAGGAAGAAGCUUGCUUCUUUGCUGACGAGUGGCGGACGGGUGAGUAAUGUCUGGGAAACUGCCUGAUGGAGGGGGAUAACUACUGGAAACGGUAGCUAAUACCGCAUAACGUCGCAAGACCAAAGAGGGGGACCUUCGGGCCUCUUGCCAUCGGGUGUGCCCAGAUGGGAUUAGCUAGUAGGUGGGGUAACGGCUCACCUAGGCGACGAUCCCUAGCUGGUCUGAGAGGAUGACCAGCCACACGGGAACUGAGACACGGUCCAGACUCCUACGGGAGGCAGCAGUGGGGAAUAUUGCACAAUGGGCGCAAGCCUGAUGCAGCCAUGCCGCGUGUAUGAAGAAGGCCUUCGGGUUGUAAAGUACUUUCAGCGGGGAGGAAGGGAGUAAAGUUAAUACCUUUGCUCAUUGACGUUACCCGCAGAAGAAGCACCGGCUAACUCCGUG